AUUAAUCUUGUGGGUAGCAACCUCAAUCUCCUCCAUGUUAUAUAUAUAUAGUUUCCUUGAUAUAUAAGCAUGUAUAUUGAGGUAUAUAGAAGCAUGAAAGUCCCCUCUCCACUCUAGUAAUUCUCGAAAUGUUGACAAAGAAAGCAUGAUGAAUCUUUCAACUUUCCACUACCUUCAUGUGCUCAUACACCUCUCCAUGUUAGAUACAUGAGAGGAAGAGAUAUGUUUCUUGAGAACCCUUGAAAGGGCUAUAUGUUAUGAUAAGUGAAGCAUGAUAAGUUCUUAGUAAGAAAAUGCAUGAGAAUGAUGGUGAAAGCAUGGAUCUAUGAGGAUAUGUGUAUAUGUUAUAAAUUCGACCAUUACGGGAAAGUUUUCUUACGUUCUGGACUGUUCAGUCGACGAGGUUUCCCUCGUCCAAAAAUCUUCAAAAUUUUACAGUGUGUCGACAUAUGUGUCUUGUAAGCUCCGGUAAAAUUUCAAGUCAUUUGGACUUGGUUUACUACCUUUUUAAAAUAUAAAACUUUUACUGCGCAUUUCCGCCGGAAGUUUAGAAAGGCAGUCUGUGGAGUCACACUUUUCAGUGACUUUCAAAAAUAUUCAGCCUCCCAAAUUUUUAUGGGAGAAAGAUACAUGUAUUGUACAGACGCAUGUCAAAUUUCAAAGCAUUCGGACAACGUUUACUAAUUUUUAAAAAUCCUAGCUUCCAGUCGUGCGAAACUGCCGAAUCUGGUAGACUGUGGGAAAACACCCAUAUCUCUUAAACCACUUGGAGUUUUUCACUCUACUUUUUUUUAAACGAAACUAGACUCAAAGAGGUUUUCAUCGGUAUAAGUCUCGAAUCCAGGAGAUUCCUGAGUUAAAGCAGUUUAUUCGUUAAAGUUGAGACAGAACAGAAUGGUAAACUGGAAGUGUCCGAAAAUUUUACCUUGAUUUUGUGUUAAGAAUUUUUAAAGGUUUUGGUGGAAUUAUACACCAUGAUAUGGCAUGAAAAUGCUACUAGAAAGUUUUAUAAAUAUUUUCCAAGGCUUACAUGAAUAUUUGAGAAUUUCCUUACAAGGAAAAAGAUUUCAAGUUCAUAGAAUGACUUUUAAGUCAUUUGACUAUUGAGAUAAUUCAUAUAUAUUAUUAUGUGGAAUAAUUGAGUAAUUUGAAGCAUGAAUGACUAUGUGAUUUAUAUGAAUGCUAUUUACCUAGGAUUGAGAGUCUUUUAAUUGGAUAAGAUAUCCAAUUAAAUUGGGAGGUCCAAUUGGGUAAAUAGUGGAGAAGUCAUAAGAUGAGAUUAAGCAUAUGAUGAAAGCAUAAGUAUUGAGAUAUUAGUUAGAUGAAAUUCUAACUAGAGUUUAUUUUGUCACAUGGCAAUCUAAACCACGUGCGCCACCAAAGGUUCGAGUGACAGCCGGCGUUAGUACGACCCCGAGCGUUGUGUCAUCGACUCCUGAAACAGGUGGGCUUUAUUCUAACUCUAUUAUGGCUAGCUACCAUGAUAAUGAGUUCAAAUGCAAAAUCUUAUGAAAAUGAAGCAUGAUGAAGCAUUAUUGAUGAGUACUAUGAAAAUGAAGCAUGUUGAAGCAUUAUUGAUGCAUAUUAUGAAAAUUGUCAUCUUGCCAUAUAUAUUAUUGAUGAGAAUGAGAUAUGGUAUGUUGCCUCUAUGAAAGACAUGAUUAUGAUCAUGAUGCAAGAUAUCGGCCUUUAACUGAUUUAUAUGACAGUAAAGGUUUUGUGCGCAGAGGUGAUCGUGAGCCGUCUCUAGUCGGCCGGUCACGGUGAUUUGAAGGAGGCCUCCUUCUCUUCACCUAGUAUAUAUAUGUUAUAUGAGUUCUCAUAGUUGGCACAUACCCUGAAUAUAAUGUCUGCAGACUAAUGAUAUUAUUAUGAUGAUGCAAAUGAGUUUAUGACAGAAAAACAUGAACAGGUAUUUUAAAUCUCAGCUAAAUCCUGUUGAUGCAUUGAAAAGGGCAAGAUUGACAUAUAGCUCUAAGAGCAACAUUUCAAUUAUUUCCAGCAUGAGUCCACUGAGUACUUUUUGGUACUCAGCCCUGCAUGUAUUUCUAAAUGUGCAGGUCUGGCUUGGCGCGAGGAUGGGUGAAAGUUGUUGGAAUUGUCAGUUGGCUGUGUCUUUCCUAUGUCUCACAUUUAUCUCAUAAGCUUUGACUCUAUAAGUUAUUAAACUCCCUGCUAUAUGUCUUCACACAUAUAGUAACGCAUCGCUGCACAACUCUGAUGAAACUCUUUUAAUUUGCUUAUGUCUGUAAUAUCCCAUAAGGGAAAAUACUUCUCAAACCCUUGCUAAGUUUCAACUGCUUAUU
rnacentral:lncRNA from 1 species